ensembl:misc_RNA
AAGUUCCGCGGGCUGCUCUUUUCUCUAAGUUAUUUUUGGUGAUUUUUUAGUGAUUUUUUUGGCGUGGUCUUAGUGGUGCUAUACUCCCGGACAGGUUAUCCAGUCUCUCCCGCUAGAUUGAUGAGAUCAGGCAUC